rnacentral:rRNA from 1 species
UACGUAGGAGACGAGCGUUGUCCGGAAUCACUGGGCGUAAGGCGCGUGUAGGCGGGUCCGCAAGUCUGCUGUGAAAACUCCUGGCUUAACCGGGAGAGGGCGGUGGAAACUGCGAACCUGGAGGACGGUAGAGGCUGGUGGAAUUCCCGGUGUAGUGGUGAAAUGCGUAGAGAUCGGGAGGAACACCUGUGGCGAAGGCGGCCAGCUGGGCCGGACCUGACGCUGAGACGCGAAGGCGUGGGGAGCGAACGGG